rnacentral:rRNA from 1 species
GACGUAGGAGGCGAGCGUUGUUCGGAAUUACUGGGCGUAAAGCGCACGUAGGCGGACAUUUAAGUCAGAGGUGAAAGCCCAGGGCUCAACCCUGGAAUUGCCUUUGAUACUGGCUGUCUUGAGUGCGGGAGAGGUGUGUGGAACUCCGAGUGUAGAGGUGAAAUUCGUAGAUAUUCGGAAGAACACCAGUGGCGAAGGCGACACACUGGCCCGUAACUGACGCUGAGGCGCGAAAGCGUGGGGAGCAAACAGG